rnacentral:rRNA from 1 species
AAGACAAUGACGCUUAACUGGUUUGAGAGGAUGAUCAGUCACACUGGAACUGAGACACGGUCCAGACUCCUACGGGAGGCAGCAGUGGGGAAUAUUGCACAAUGGGGGAAACCCUGAUGCAGCAACGCCGCGUGGAGGAUGACACAUUUCGGUGCGUAAACUCCUUUUAUAUAGGAAGAUAAUGACGGUACUAUAUGAAUAAGCGCCGGCUAACUCCGUGCCAGCAGCCGCGGUAAUACGGAGGGCGCAAGCGUUACUCGGAAUCACUGGGCGUAAAGAGCGUGUAGGCGGAUAGAUAAGUCAGAAGUGAAAUCCUAUGGCUCAACCAUAGAACUGCUUUUGAAACUGUUUAUCUAGAGUGUGGGAGAGGUAGAUGGAAUUUCUGGUGUAGGGGUAAAAUCCGUAGAGAUCAGAAGGAAUACCGAUUGCGAAGGCGAUCUACUGGAACAUUACUGACGCUGAGACGCGAAAGCGUGGGGAGCAAACAGGAUUAGAUACCCUGGUAGUCCACGCCCUAAACGAUGUACACUAGUUGUUGUGAGGCUAGACCUUGCAGUAAUGCAGUUAACACAUUAAGUGUACCGCCUGGGGAGUACGGUCGCAAGAUUAAAACUCAAAGGAAUAGACGGGGACCCGCACAAGCGGUGGAGCAUGUGGUUUAAUUCGACGAUACACGAAGAACCUUACCUGGUCUUGACAUAGUAAGAACUUUCUAGAGAUAGAUUGGUGUCUGCUUGCAGAAACUUAUAUACAGGUGCUGCACGGCUGUCGUCAGCUCGUGUCGUGAGAUGUUGGGUUAAGUCCCGCAACGAGCGCAACCCUCGUCGUUAGUUGCUAACAGUUCGGCUGAGAACUCUAACGAGACUGCCUACGCAAGUAGGAG